GAUGUCGUCAGCUGUUGGGACGUUACGCUUUGGUGGCGCAGCUAACGCGUGAAGUUGACCGCCUGGGGAGUACGGUCGCAAGAUUAAAACUCAAAGGAAUUGACGGGGACCCGCACAAGCGGUGGAUGAUGUGGAUUAAUUCGAAGCAACGCGCAAAACCUUACCUACCCUUGACAUGUCUGGAAAGCCUAAGAGAUUUGCUUGUGCUCUCAUGAGAACCGGAACACUGGUGCUGUGUGGGUGUCUCCAGCUCGUGUGGGGAGAUGUGGGGUUAACUCCCACAACAAGCGCAACCCUUGUCUUUUUUUGCUACGCGAUAGGGAUCCUAUGACAAUGGCGGGGACAAACCGGAAGAAGGGGGGGAUGAGGAGAUUCCUCAUGGCCCUUAUGGGUAGGGCUUCUGCGUUACACAAUGGUAGGGAGGAGGGGCACCUACCUGCGAGGGGGAGCCUAUCUCAUAAACCCCAUCGUACUUCGGAUCGCAGUCUGCACUUCUCACUGCCUGAAGUCUGAAUCUGUAAUAAUCGCGGAUCAGAAUGUCGCGUGGAGAACGUUACCCCGUUCCUGUACACACCGCCCGUCACACCAUGAGAAUGGGUUUUUCCUUUUACCCGUAGCCUAACCGUAAGGAUGGCGCUUACCACGCGAUGAUUCAUGAUGGGGGAAGAGGUAAAAA
rnacentral:rRNA from 1 species